AAGGCCUGAUGUGUGUGAGAUUACCCGCUGAAUUUAAGCAUAUAAGUAAGCGGAGGAAAAGAAACUAACUAGGAUUCCCUUAGUAAUGGCGAAUGAACAGGGAUCAGCUCAGUGCCAAAUCGGAAUCACUUGUGGUUCUGAAAUGUGGCUUGAAGGCAGUACCAGUGGCAUCGCGGACGAAAGUCUCUUGGAAAAGAGCGUCAUAGAGGGUGAGAAUCCCGUGAGUCGUUCGCCGUUUGUCACGUACGGUCUGCGUUCUAACGAGUCGCGUUCCUUGGGAUUGGAGCGUAAACGGGUGGUAAAUUUCAUCCAAAGCAAAAUAUAUACUCGAGACCGAUAGCACAAAAGUACCGUGAGGGAAAGGUGAAAAGAACUUUGAGAAGAGGGUUAAAUAGUGCCUGAAAUCGUUGAGAAGGAAGCGGAUGCCGCCGUUGCAUAUGCUGAUUGUAGGAUUGCUGCUCGCUCCUGUCUUCUGCUACUCAUUCACAGACCUGGUCGUGUUGAGCAGUUGUUUGGCAGAUGUUAGUGGUGUUUCCUACUUUCAGUCGUCAGCAUCACUGGCUGAGUGGAAAUAAUCCUUGGAUGCUAAUUGGUUCGCUAUCUGUGAAUUGGUUGCUUCCUUGCGAUACUCACUACUCGGUCAGUGAGGAAGUGCGUU
rnacentral:ncRNA from 1 species